rnacentral:rRNA from 1 species
AUUGAACGCUGGCGGCAUGCCUUACACAUGCAAGUCGAACGGUAACAGGUCUUCGGAUGCUGACGAGUGGCGAACGGGUGAGUAAUACAUCGGAACGUGCCCAGACGUGGGGGAUAACGAGGCGAAAGCUUUGCUAAUACCGCAUACGAUCUAAGGAUGAAAGCAGGGGACCGCAAGGCCUUGCGCGUUUGGAGCGGCCGAUGGCAGAUUAGGUAGUUGGUGGGAUAAAAGCUUACCAAGCCGACGAUCUGUAGCCGGUCUGAGAGGACGACCAGCCACACUGGGACUGAGACACGGCCCAGACUCCUACGGGAGGCAGCAGUGGGGAAUUUUGGACAAUGGGCGAAAGCCUGAUCCAGCAAUGCCGCGUGCAGGAUGAAGGCCUUCGGGUUGUAAACUGCUUUUGUACGGAACGAAAAGGCUCUGGCUAAUACCUGGGGCACAUGACGGUACCGUAAGAAUAAGCACCGGCUAACUACGUG